rnacentral:rRNA from 1 species
CCCUUAGACGUUCUGGGCCGCACGCGCGCUACACUGACCGGUGCAACAAGCAUCCGUCCUUGGCCGACAGGCCCGGGCAAUCUUUGAACGCCGGUCGUGAUGGGGAUAGACUUUUGCAAUUUUUGGUCUUCAACGAGGAAUUCCUAGUAAACGCAAGUCAUCAACUUGCAUUGAUUACGUCCCUGCCCUUUGUACACACCGCCCGUCGCACCUACCGAUUGAAUGGUCCGGUGAAGCCUCCGGAUUGGCGCGCACCUCGGUGCCGCCGAGAAGUUGGCUAAACCUUACCAUUUAGAGGGAGGUGAAGUCGUAACA